CAGUAGCCGCGGGAACACGUAGGGUGCGAGCGUUAAUCGGAAUUACUGGGCGUAAAGCGUGCGCAGGCGGUUAUGUAAGACAGCUGUGAAAUCCCCGGGCUCAACCUGGGAACUGCAUCUGUGACUGCAUAGCUAGAGUACGGUAGAGGGGGAUGGAAUUCCGCGUGUAGCAGUGAAAUGCGUAGAUAUGCGGAGGAACACCGAUGGCGAAGGCAAUCCCCUGGACCUGUACUGACGCUCAUGCACGAAAGCGUGGGGAGCAAACAGGAUUAGAUACCCCUGUAGUCCCUGUCUCUUAUAC
rnacentral:rRNA from 1 species